rnacentral:tRNA from 1 species
GCUCUGGUGGUGGAAUUGGUAGACACGCUGUCUUGAGGGGGCAGUGGCGCGAGCCGUGCGAGUUCGAGUCUCGCUCAGAGCACCA